rnacentral:lncRNA from 1 species
CUAAACCAUGUGUGUGUGUGUGUGUGCAAUAAUAAUAAUAAUGAUAAUAAUAAUAAUAAUAAUAAUAAUGCAUAGAAUACAAAUCUUAAGGCAAAAUAAAUAGGCCAAACCACUAAAGAAAACAUUGUUACGUAAAUUACAAUAAACAAACCUUUCUUCGUUGACAUAUAAAGGAACAUUUUCACCAUUUUUUGAAAAAAUCAAUGGCUUAAAAGUAGACAAAAUACCAUUUGAAUUACUCGUCGUUUGAACAACUGAUAAGUAAUUGAGUCCAAGAUUUCUUUACUUCAUAUUUUUUCAUUACCCAUAUAAUAACAUGAAAUUGUUAGUGACGUAUAAAGAGGACACCCUUCUAGAAAUCCACCUCCAUUCUAACAUUCUCGAUCGGAAUAUUUGUUGACAGCAUUAACUCGUAAUGAUUCUAAUUCGCAAUAAUAAAAUCCAUAAUUCUAUAUGUUUUGUCCGAAUUUGGAUGGAAUAUUCUCAAGGAGCAUAUGCUAUGACCCAUUGACAUGUGCCUUUCAGCGAUUUUCAUAAAAAAAGCAGGAAAACGUUGGACCUUGCCUCAAGAAUUCAAUUUCAAGCUUAAAAUUUCAAUCUUAAAGAAUGUUCACUGCCUGCUAAAUAUGAUAAUCAACCACCUGAACAUCUUUAUAAUCACUGUUUCUUGAAUCAUAACCCAGCCUAUAAUGCUCAAUGGCAUAAAAAGAUGAAUAAUUAUUGGAUUCAAUAUAAAAGAUAUCGGGUAAGCUCUUUUGUCUUUUUGAAAAAGGGUUCCAUAAUAUAAAUGGUUCCACCACUAUUACAACUAAUAUAUUGUAAUAUUUAGAAAUGGUUGAGAAUUAGUGGAAUAAACUAAGGUUGAUUGACAUGGGCUUUAAACGAAUGAAUUCAAUUCUACAGAAUGAAGUCUGAUCUCUAUGCUUUCAUUAACGAGAUUGUGAUUGGAGCAUGUUAUGAUGGAUUGAUGCAAAUACAUUUUGAUGAAAUGAUCGUUGUUGAUUAUUGAGUACCAAUUUUUUGAUACACCAUUGAAUCGUGAAAGGGAUUCCACGAAUUAGUGUAAGAUGAUAAAUUCGAUGAGUUUUGAAGGAAUCAUAUAUUCUAAUGUUAAAGAUUUAGAAUUCUAUUUUAUCCUGAAGUUUGUAUUCAAAGCCUUGUUUUAUUAAAGUAGCCGUCCAAAACUCCUAUCUAUACUCAUCUUUGAUACAAUAUAUUUCUCCUCCUUCACUCGUGAUUUUUUUUCCCGUCUGGAUUUUUCACGUAAAUUUUUGUGUUCUUGUUAUUUUUUUUGUAUUGUCUAUUUCUCACUUUUACGUAACAUGCAAAAAAUAUACAGUAUCGAAAAGCAGUAUGGAUAUUCUUAUUUGAUAAAGCUUUAAACUUUAUAAUCAUUGUUUCUUGAAUCAUAACCCAGCCUAUAAUGCUCAAUGGCAUAAAAAGAUGAAUAAUUAUUGGAUUCAAUAUAAAAGAUAUCGUGUAAGCUCUUUUGUCUUUUUGAAAAAGGGUUCCAUAAUAUAAAUGGUUCCACCACUAUUACAACUAAUAUAUUGUAAUAUUUAGAAAUGGUUGAGAAUUAGUGGAAUAAACUAAGGUUGAUUGACAUGGGCUUCAAACGAAUGAAUCCAAUUCUCCAGAAUGAAGUCUGAUCUAUAUGCUUUCAUUAACGAGAUUGUGAUUGGAGCAUGUUAUGAUGGAUUGAUGCAAAUACAUUUUGAUGAAAUGAUCGUUGUUGAUUAUUGAGUACCAAUUUUUUGAUACACCAUUGAAUCGUGAAAGGGAUUCCACGAAUUAGUGUAAGAUGAUAAAUUCGAUGAGUUUUGAAGGAAUCAUAUAUUCUAAUGUUAAAGAUUUAGAAUUCUAUUUUAUCCUGAAGUUUGUAUUCAAAGCCUUGUUUUAUUAUAGUAGCCGUCCAAAACUCCUAUCUAUACUCAUCUUUGAUACAAUAUAUUUCUCCUCCUUCACUCGUGAUUUUUUUUCCCGUCUGGAUUUUUCACGUAAAUUUUUGUGUUCUUGUUAUUAUUUUUGUAUUGUCUAUUCUCACUUUUACGUAACAUGCAAAAAAUAUACAGUAUCGAAAAGCAGUAUGGAUAUUCUUAUUUGAUAAAGCUUUAAACUUUAUAACAUUUUAGUGAACCCCAUAUGGAUCUCUAGAAGAAAAAACCACUUUAUAUUUGAAUAUAGAAUAAUUAGAUUAAUAGAAUUAUUUAAGAGUACAAAAUACUAUUUGUGGGAAUCAAACCCACGAUCAUGGGGUUUAAAAAUCACGCGCUCUGUCGGCUAUGCUAAGAUGGGCACAACUUCUAUCAUUAUCAACAUAAAGGUUUAGGAGCCCCAUGUGAAAUUUACCCAAAAAUUAAAGUUCAACUUUAUAAACCAGUUUUAAUUUCUAUUUCUAAUUUGUCUACCGUUCUUCAAAUUCAACAAGCUAUCCUUGUCUUUUAGAAAUCUACCUUCUUUCACCCUUUCAAAAAUAAUAAGCCCAACAACUUUUAGCAAUCAUUGCCUAAAGAUCAAUAAUCUUAUAUUCCUUUAGAACUCAUCAAAGAAAUAUUCUUCGCUGAUCAAAUGUAACCCCUUUACUGUAUCAAAAAAUUGGUGCUCUAUAAUCGACAGUAAUCAUUUCAUCAAAAUACAUUUGCAUCAAUUCACCACAUGCUCCAAUUACAGCCUCAUUUAUGAAAGCAUGGAGAUAUGAUUUCAUUAUGUAGAUUUGGAUUCACUUAGCGAAGCCCAUGUUGUUCAAUUCCCAAUUUAUUCUAGGAAUUUUCAAUGCACGUCUUGCUAUUGUAGUGGAUUAGUUCUAUUAGAGGUUGAACCCCUUGUAUUCUAGAAAACAAAAGAAUUUACUUGACGCCUUCACGAUUGAAUUCGUUGAUUAUUCAUAGUUAUAUGCUAUAGUAUAGGUUGGGUUACGAUUCAAUGAUUAUAAAGUUGUUCGGAUUAUUGAAUUUCACAAUGUAGUGGGACAGAGAACAUUCUCUAAGACUGAAAUUUAAGUCUGAAAUUGAAUUCUUAGAACAAGUUUCAGUGUUUUCCUUAUCCAUUACCCUUUUACAAAGAUUGCUGUGACAUACAUGUCAAUGUGGUAUCAAAUUAGCUUCUUAAGGAUAUUCUUGUAUUUAUUUGGAUAAAACACUUAAAAUUAUAGAUUUUAAUGUUUGGAAUCAUGUUGAGUUGAUGCUGUCAACAGAUAUUCCAAUUAAGAUUGUUAUCACGGAGUUUGAUGUUUUUAGAGGGAGUCUUUCUUUAACCACCGAUAGAGAAUUUCAUGUUCUUAUAUGGGUAAUGAAAAAAUAUAGAGUAAAUGAAUCUUAGAUUUAAUUGCUAUCAGUUGGUCAAGCAAAGGUUAAUUUGGAUGGUGUUUUGUCUACUUUCAAGUCAUUGGCUUAUUCAAAGAAUAGUGAAAAUGCUCUCUUAAAUGUCAAUGAAGAAAUGCUUGUUUGGUAUGAUUUACAUAGAAAUAUCUUUGUUAGAGGUUUGCCCAUUUUAUUUUCAUUUGCAGUUUGUAUUUAAAGCUGUGUUUCAUUGUAUAUUGUAUUUUAGGGUUUCAUUAUAUUAUUCAGUUCAACUAUCCAAAACUUACUCUUGUACUGAUAUUUGAUAUAGUGAAUUUUCUCUUAUUUGUCCAUGAUUUUUUUCUAGUCAUGGUUUCCACCUAAAUCUAUCUGAUCUUAUUAUUAUUUUUAUAUUGCCUAUUCUUGCUUUCUCGUAACAAAAUUCUAUGCUUGAAAUUGAAUUUUUGGAACAGGUCCUAUGUUUUCCUUAUCUAUUACCCUUUUACGAGAAUCACUGUGAGGUACAUAUCAAUGGAGUAUUGCAUUCACUUCUUGACAAUAUUUCUCAUGUGUAUUUGGACAAAAAAUCAUUUAAAAUUAUGGGUUUUAGUUUUGAGAACGAGAAUCAUCAUGAAUUGAUAUUAUCAAUAGAUAUUCUGAUCGAGAAUGUUAGCAUUGAGUUGGAUAUUGUAGGAGUACGUCUUUCUUUAAACACCGUUAGUGAGUUUCAUGUUGGUAUAUGGGUGAUAAAGAAAUAUGGAGUGGAGGAAUCUCGGACUUAAUUAUUAUCAGUUAAAAAGUGAUUACUUUGGAUAGUAUUUUGUCUACUUUCAAGCCAUUGGCUUAUUCGAAAAAUGGUGAAAAUGCUCGUUUAUAUGUCAAUGAAGAAAGAUUUGUUUGAUAAGAUUUAUGUAGAAAUAUAUAUGGCAGUUGUUUGUACUUUUUUUUUUUUCCCUCGUAUUUGCAUUCAAAGCCCUGUUUUAUUAUUUACCCUAUAUAU